rnacentral:rRNA from 1 species
UACGGAGGGUGCAAGCGUUGUCCGGAUUUAUUGGGUUUAAAGGGUGCGUAGGCGGUUUUUUAAGUCCGGGGUGAAAGCCCACUGCUCAACAGUGGAACUGCCCUGGAAACUGGAGGACUUGAGUACAGACGAGGGUGGCGGAAUGGAUACUGUAGCGGUGAAAUGCAUAGAGAGUAUCCAGAACACCGAUUGCGAAGGCAGCUGCCUAGACUGUAACUGACGCUGAGGCACGAAAGCGUGGGGAGCGAACAGG